rnacentral:rRNA from 1 species
GAACGCUGGCGGUAGGCUUAACACAUGCAAGUCGUGCGAGAAAAUAUCUUCGGAUAUGAGUAGAGCGGCGAACGGGUGAGUAACGCGUAGGAAUGUACCUAGUAGAAGGGGAUAGCCCGGGGAAACUCGGAUUAAUACCGUAUACCUCCUUUGGGAGAAAGAAGGCCUCUCUUUGAAGCUUUCGCUAUUAGAUCAGCCUGCGUAAGAUUAGCUUGUUGGUGAGGUAAUGGCUCACCAAGGCUACGAUCUUUAGCUGGUCUGAGAGGACGAUCAGCCACAUUGGGACUGAGACACGGCCCAGACUCCUACGGGA